GACGAACGCUGGCGGCGUGCUUCAUACAUGCAAGUCGAACGAGAAUCUGACUUCGGUCAGAGGAAAGUGGCGGACGGGUGAGUAAUAUGUAGAAAAUCUGCCCUAGAGAGGGGGACAACAGAGGGAAACUUCUGCUAAUACCCCAUAUGAGCUACCUUGAUAUAGGUAUCUUGAAAACUCCGGUGCUCUGGGAUGAGUCUGCAUCUGAUUAGCUUGUUGGCGGGGUAAUGGCCCACCAAGGCGACGAUCAGUAGCUGGUUUGAGAGGAUGAUCAGCCACAAUGGGACUGAGACACGGCCCAUACUCCUACGGGAGGCAGCAGUAGGGAAUUUUGCGCAAUGGGCGAAAAGCCUGACGCAGCAACGCCGCGUGAACGAUAAAGCCCCUCGGGGUGUAAGGUUCUGUCAGUGGGGACGAAACUUGACGGUACCCACAGAGAAGCACCGGCUAAACUCCGUGCCAGCAGCCGCGGUU
rnacentral:rRNA from 1 species